GGAAUACUCUCGGCACAAAGUCUACAAUGUCUUGACCAAAACACACUCUGCUACAAAAAUCUUCAGUACAGCUGCAAGGUCGUCAUGAUUGCCUUCCACGUCAACAAGAACCUCACAAAUGUUUAUGUAACUGGCUAGGAGACAAACCAGGUCAUCUGCAUGAAAUCUGGCACCAGCGUCACGAAUACACAGACAGUACACACAGGGCGCUGACUCAGCAAGACAUAUGAUGCCCCGUGUAGAUAAGCAUCCUGCUCUUCGUAUGUCAAUUUUCUUUAAGUUGCUGUUGCAAGACAAGCCUGUAACAAUUUCAGCCUCACUGUAAUAGUUACGCUGGUCACCUAUGAGUGAAAAUGUUUUCAACUUUUUUUAAUGUUUCAAGAAUCCCAAAGAAGUAACAUUAAUGUCAUACAACUUCAGAUGUUGUACAUUUUUGGCUCCUGUCAAGUAACCAUCCAUAGAAAACUGUCCUAUCAGAGGUGUAUUCCAAAGAUCAAUUUUCUUGAAUUGUGCCUAAAACCUCAGAGUCUGCUUGUAUUAGAAAUUCCCAUCGUGUACAUACGCGCCUCACUCCAUGAAUAAUGUCAUAUAAUGACAAAUUGAAAAAUGUAAUAAGCAAAAUUUCUUCGGGCAGAUCAUGAAUGUAUGGACUCUGAAAAACAAAGAAACAUAAAUCUAUGAGCUCUUUGAACACAGACAAAGUUCAGAUGUGUUCAUGUAACACUACGCAUUAGAGCUCAAUACUUGCAUCACAAAUUUACAGGCUUUGUAAAUGACUUGUCAUGAUCCCAGAUAAUUUCAGAAGUUGAUUCAUUUGCUUUCAUUGCUGCAGCCUUCCACUUCAAGCGAAGUACCUCCAUUUUUAAUUCAGCUCUUCUUUCAUAGAUUGUAGUUUUAUGUCGUGCUCUUCCUUAGCGAGCUGAAUUAUAACAUUUUCCGAUUCGAGUUGAUGUUGAUGGAGUUGGUGCAGUAUCUUCGUGGCGAGAGAUUGCCCCUGGUGAGGUAGAAUGGUAUGGUGCAUAGGCAUCAAAAGCCCUGUAAAAUUGUGAUGCAAAUGGAAAUUUCUGCCUGACAAAUUGUUUUAUACCUUUAACAUUUGCUAUUAACAUACAGUGAACAGAUACACAUUAGGACCAUGGGGCAUUGUCGUACAGUCUCCAUGGAACGACUUCUUUAUAGACUGAGAGACUAGUCUUGUACGCUGACGCAGAGGCAAUCAACACUGCUUUGUAGAAUAUACUUAAUGUUGAAAUUGUGUAUACCAUAUGGAGUGAAGUGAAAUGGAGUUGAUAUGCGACGACCUCUUUCAGGUCACAUGUUUAAUGGUGGACAUUUAACACACAUUGCGAGAUGAUGGCAUAAAUUCGCUUAACCUCUGGCAACAUUUUUAAGGUAAUAUGUGCUAUGGAAUACUUAAUCUACUAACAUGCUUAGUUGCGCUUCCACAUCCUCAGUAUUGUCAUCAUAUGGGUUAGUUAGUUGCUGAAAUUCCUUUGGUACUAUGCCCAUGACACGGCUGGUCAGAGUGCUGACAUCCUUCGGGGGGUGAACAUCCACCAGUUUUCUUUAGUUCUCUUUCAUAAUCCCGCAUUCCCUUUCUAGCUGAUAAUUUCAGUCUUAUCCACAAAGCUUUCAGCUUAUCUGUGUUAUGCAUGAUUACAAAUCUAGCAUGGUUAGUAAGUCUAACCCUUCCCAAUGCCUCUUGCUUUGACUUAACAGAACUGGCAUCCCACCGUUUCCCAUCAAUAACACGGGUAUUGUCCUCUAUACAGUCUAAGAGGAAGAACUUUUGCUCACUUGUCCAGUUAUUCACUCUGCAUUGCUGACGAUAUCACCUCUACAUGCGAUCUCACCUGCUGCACACAAUGUAAACACAUAUAUUAUGUGAAGCGGAACAUGUGUGCAACUAAACUGAGCAUGCGUGGGUUGAGAUUUCGAAAUUGGCUUCACAACGAAACGAACAAGGUAGGAUCUUAAAAUUCCAGACCUGGUCUAAACUUCCGUUUAGUUAGAUUUGCUCUCUCUAAUACAGUUUAAAUUAGACCAACGGUUCUGGUUUUCGUAAGCCUGGUUCGAAUUAAACUUCCUUAAUAAAUAAGCCCCACAGGGUCUCCACCAGUUUGGUCCCUUGGUCUUGGUGCAGCAAUUGUCAUCAGCACGUUAAUCCAGAUAAAUGACAUGCUUCAGCCGUGUAUAUAGCGAAUGGAAGUUUUAUAGAGCUCCAUUAUUCAUCUUUAUUUUACUUUCACUUUGGGCAUUGAUCGUCCUCUCAAAGCCACAAACUGGGGCAUUGUAGUACAGUCUCCAUGGAACGACUUCUUCAUAGACUGAGAGACUAGUCUUGUACGCUGACGCAGAGGCAAUCAACACUCACGAUUACUUACCUCUGCUCUAGCGACCAAUUACAUCAGUAAAGUGUAAAUACCGAAUUCCAGUGGAUUUUGAUGUGUCCCCGCUCCUAUGUUGCCGAACACAUCCUUGACUAAGCUUAUGCAAAGGAGCGAUGCUCAUUUGAUGUUCAGAACUGGAGGUAAAACUAGUUGAGCUUACCGAGCCAUGUUGCCUUUUCAACUUUGGAUGUGAACUGGAGCAUGGUUUCGAAGCAGGGAUAUGCUGAGAUUAGAGUCGCAAGAUUCUCUUCUGUGGAGGUUUCUGGUAAUCAGGGCGUGAGCUCUGUCCUUUUGUCUUGUACAAAAGUUGUGGCGGAAAACUACACCUACUCGGGAGAGCCCGCUCCCUGGGAGUCCUUGUGCAGAGCAGGCUAAGGUGUUUUGGAAGUAGCAACCCAUCACACGAAUAGGAGUUAUGCAGUCAAUCAGAAAUUGCACAUGUAACAGGCCUCCUAGUCUACCAUCACCACAUCACUCGAUCGUCAUCUACAUACAACGAAAGACAUCGGGUAAUCUGCACCGCACCGUCCGACUGUGGGGUAAGUACAAAUCAUAAGGAAAGAUCAGUUUCAAAAGUUCAAGAGAGGCCGAAAACUUUGUUUUCGGUUUGUUUCCACUCAGCUGUUGAGAUUUAUCAUUAAGUAUACUGAGAAGAGGUAUUAUAAAUAUACAAUUUAUAGUUAAAAUUUUCGAUUCGGUAUAUAUUCGUUUGUACUUACAAUAGAGUAGAAAACGUAAUUGUUGAAAGUUGCUUAUAACAUUGUGUAAAGUGACGUCAAAUGAACAACCUGUGUAUAUCAUAUGUAUAUUAGUUCCAUGUAAAUUGCAUGUACACAGAUAAUCUAAAAUGUCAGCUCUAUAUAAGUAAGUGCGUUUAGUUUAAUGCCGCAAUCAUCAAUAUCCCAGCUAUAUGACGGUAUUCUGUAAAUAGCCAUGUCUGGAGCAGACAAUCCAGUGAUCAACAUCAUGACCAUCGAUCUACACAACUGUGAUAAGAUGCAGCUCUAUAUAAAGGAGUUGCCUUAGAUCAGUACUUGAAGAAAUAUGGGACAAAGGGUGGGUCAUUUUUUUAUUAAACUGCUGAACUCCU
rnacentral:lncRNA from 1 species